rnacentral:rRNA from 1 species
AACGAACGCUGGCGGCAUGCCUAACACAUGCAAGUCGAACGAGACCUUCGGGUCUAGUGGCGCACGGGUGCGUAACGCGUGGGAAUCUGCCCUUGGGUUCGGAAUAACUCCCCGAAAGGGGUGCUAAUACCGGAUGAUGUCGUAAGACCAAAGAUUUAUCGCCCAAGGAUGAGCCCGCGUAGGAUUAGGUAGUUGGUGAGGUGAAGGCUCACCAAGCCGACGAUCCUUAGCUGGUCUGAGAGGAUGAUCAGCCACACUGGGACUGAGACACGGCCCAGAGUCCUACGGGAGGCAGCAGUGGGGAAUAUUGGACAAUGGGCGAAAGCCUGAUCCAGCAAUGCCGCGUGAGUGAUGAAGGCCUUAGGGUUGUAAAGCUCUUUUACCCGGGAUGAUAAUGACAGUACCGGGAGAAUAAGCCCCGGCUAACUCCGUGCCAGCCGCCGCCGUAAUAC